rnacentral:ncRNA from 2 species
GAACCGGGCCGUGACUGGCGCAGACAGGUGGACGACCACCGGGGAGCGGCUCCGAAGCCGUGCCGCGCGCCUGGGCUCCCCGU